AACGAACGCUGGCGGCAGGCCUAACACAUGCAAGUCGAACGCUCCGCAAGGAGAGUGGCAGACGGGUGAGUAACACGUGGGAAUCUUCCUAUCGGUACGGAAUAGCUCAGGGAAACUUGAGGUAAUACCGCAUACGCCCUUCGGGGGAAAGAUUUAUCGCCGAUAGAUGAGCCCGCGUCUGAUUAGCUAGUUGGUGGGGUAAUGGCCUACCAAGGCGACGAUCAGUAGCUGGUCUGAGAGGAUGACCAGCCACACUGGGACUGAGACACGGCCCAGACUCCUACGGGAGGCAGCAGUGGGGAAUAUUGGACAAUGGGCGCAAGCCUGAUCCAGCCAUGCCGCGUGAGUGACGAAGGUCUUCGGAUUGUAAAGCUCUUUUGCCAGGGACGAUAAUGACGGUACCUGGAGAAUAAGCCCCGGCUAACUUCGUGCCAGCCGCCGCGGUAAUAC
rnacentral:rRNA from 1 species